UGGGGAAUAUUGGACAAUGGGCGAAAGCCUGAUCCAGCAACGCCGCGUGAGGGAUGACGGCCUUCGGGUUGUAAACCUCUUUCAGCAGGGACGAAGCGAAAGUGACGGUACCUGCAGAAGAAGGACCGGCCAACUACGUGCCAGCAGCCGCGGUAAUACGUAGGGUCCGAGCGUUGUCCGGAAUUAUUGGGCGUAAAGGGCUCGUAGGCGGUUUGUCGCGUCGGGAGUGAAAACUCAGGGCUCAACCCUGAGCGUGCUUCCGAUACGGGCAGACUAGAGGUAUGCAGGGGAGAACGGAAUUCCUGGUGUAGCGGUGGAAUGCGCAGAUAUCAGGAGGAACACCGGUGGCGAAGGCGGUUCUCUGGGCAUUACCUGACGCUGAGGAGCGAAAGCAUGGGGAGCGAACA
rnacentral:rRNA from 1 species